rnacentral:lncRNA from 9 species
CAUGUACAAGCACACACAUGUGCUGAGGCCGGUGAUGUUGUGGACAGCCUCCCCUCGCCCAGGCCCCAAGCGAUGGAUCUGGGACCCAGAGACCAUGGGGAUCCCCACGGCCAACAAGGGCCUGCAGGGAGGUGGGGGGGCCAGUCCUGGGACACCCCUGGUCUUCUGCCACGCCCAGCUUGCUGUGGGCAAGUGGCUGCUCCCCCACCUGCAGAGUCUGAGAGGCCCAGUUCCACGACAUUUGGGCAGAGGUGGCCCUGCCAAGCAAGUGGGCAGUACCCUGCAAAUGCUUUAAUGCCAGGAGUCAGGUUGGUCAUAGAACCUGUCCUUCCAAACCUGGUUUGCGGUCCUCCUCCUCCAGGAAGGCGGUCCUGAUUCCAUACACCACUGAGCACUGCUUUACCCAACCCUUCGGCUGCUGAGACGGGGUUCCACCUGUUCCUCUAAUGCCCUCUAUAAGCAUCACCCCUGCCCAGGGGCUCAGCCGGCCAACCUUGAUGAAGGAAGGUGAGGAGUGAAUCGAUACUGCCGGCACUUGCCCAGCCCCAGGUGUGCCCAGGACUGGGUGCUGCGGCAGCGCCACAUGCUCACUUCAAUCGACAGACACGACGAGCUUCCCCCACCCCUCGGCUGUCCCCAUGGGGCCACUGCAGGACUUGAAUACGAGUAAGUCCCUGAGAGAGCUUCUGGCUACUCAGUCUGCUGUUUCCUCACUGAUCCGGCGGGGGGUGGGGGGGAAACCGGGUGCCCAAAGGUGCAUUGGACCUGCCUGUCUCCCCAGCUCAGAGCCUGGGGACAUGUGGCACAAGCUACCCCUGCAGGGCUGGGAACCACAGAAGGGCCAGGGAUGUGGUGGACAAGAGAGAGGCGCCUUUGACCACAGCCCGCAGCAUGAAGACAGCAGGAAGAGUGCGAGCCGCUCUCAGGAGGAAGGAGGGGGCCUUGAAUAUUUUCUGAGGCCUCAUUUUACCCGCCGGGUCCUCGGAACAUGAAGCAGCUCAGUUGUAAACUAGUCUGGUGGAGAAGGCCACAAGGCUGGAACUCGGAACCCUGAAAAUCUUCCACCGCUGCCUUGCUGUGUGUCUUGGGACAAGUUGCUCACCCUCUCUGGGCUCAAUAGUAAAAAAUGGAGACGGAGGGACUAGAGGCCUGGCAAGUGUUUCCUUUCAUCUUCCCAGGGAGGGUCAGCCCAUUCCAGGGGGCUGUGGGCAUCUCUGGAGAGACUUACCCCUUUGGCUUCAGUGCACGUCCUGAGGAAGCUGUGUCUGGAUCUGGGGAGCUGCCGGCAGAGGCUGAGCUGGGACAUCUAAGGCCCGUGUGGACGUGCAGCGGCACCUGAGGACUUGGAGGGAGUCUCAAGAUGAGCCUUGGGCCUCCCUUUAAGGCGGCUGCAUCACUGUUUCAUGGGCGGGGCUGGAAGGGGGCACUGGGCCCAUGUCACUUCAUAGUUGCAGUUUGCUGUCAACAGAAGCAUCUUGUUCACUAAAUAAUAAGCUCUAAAUAAAAAUGGCAAUAAUAUCUUCCUCGUUGGUGACUCAGCCUGUGUUGGGCAGCGUGCUGGCUGCUUCCGUCCUCCCGCUCACUCUUCGCAAUAUGCCUUGGAGGUGACACUGACAAAGGUCGUCAGUCCACAGUCAGUGGGGCACAGAGAGGUUAAGUAACUUGCCCCAAGUCACACAGCUAG